UACGUAGGGUGCAAGCGUUGUCCGGAAUUAUUGGGCGUAAAGAGCUCGUAGGCGGUUUGUCGCGUCGGCUGUGAAAACCCGAGGCUCAACCUCGGGCCUGCAGUCGAUACGGGCAAACUAGAGUGCGGUAGGGGAGACUGGAAUUCCUGGUGUAGCGGUGAAAUGCGCAGAUAUCGGGAGGAACACCAGUAGCGAAGGCGGCACUCUGGGCCGGUACUGACGCUGAGGAGCGAAAGCGUGGGGAGCGAACAGG
rnacentral:rRNA from 1 species